rnacentral:rRNA from 1 species
AGCGGUGGCCAAUGGAUCACUCGGCUCAUGCGUCGAUGAAGAACGCAGCUAGCUGUGAGAAUUAAUGUGAAUUGUAGGACACAUUGAUCAUCGACACUUUGAAUGCACUUGAGGCCCGGCUUCCUCCCGGGGCUAUGCCUGUCUGAGCGUCA